rnacentral:rRNA from 1 species
UACGUAGGGGGCGAGCGUUGUCCGGAGUUACUGGGCGUAAAGGGCAUGCAGGCGGUCGGACGCGUUUUGUGUGACAGCGGAUGGCUUACCUAUCCGAGCAUACGAAAGACGGUUGGACUUGAGGACUCGAGAGGGACACGGAAUUCCGGGUGGAGUGGUGAAAUGCGUAGAGAUCCGGAGGAACACCGAAGGCGAAGGCAGUGUCCUGGCGAGCGACUGACGCUGAGGUGCGAAAGCCAGGGGAGCGAACGGG